rnacentral:rRNA from 1 species
ACGAACGCUGGCGGCGUGCCUAAUACAUGCAAGUCGAACGGUCUUUCUAUGGAAGCUUGCUUCCACUGAGAAGAUAGUGGCGAAACGGGUGAGUAACACGUGGGGUAACCUGCCCAUAAGAGGGGGGAUAACAUCCGGAAACGGGUGCUAAUACCGCAUAGUUUUCUUGAUCGCAUGAUUGAGAAAGGAAAGACGGCCUUUGUGCUGUCGCUUAUGGAUGGACCCGCGGCGUAUUAGUUAGUUGGUGAGGUAACGGCUCACCAAGACGAUGAUACGUAGCCGACCUGAGAGGGUGAUCGGCCACAUUGGGACUGAGACACGGCCCAAACUCCUACGGGAGGCAGCAGUAGGGAAUCUUCCGCAAUGGACGAAAGUCUGACGGAGCAACGCCGCGUGAGUGAAGUAAAGGUUUUCGGAUCGUAAAACUCUGUUGUCAGAGAAGAACAAGUUGGAGAGUAACUGCUCCAGCCUUGACGGUAUCUGACCAGAAAGCCACGGCUAACUACGUGCCAGCCGCAGC